rnacentral:rRNA from 1 species
UACGUAGGGCGCAAGCGUUGUCCGGAAUUACUGGGCGUAAAGAGCUCGUAGGUGGUUUGUCGCGUUGUCCGUGAAAACUCACAGCUCAACUGUGGGCGUGCGGGCGAUACGGGCAGACUGGAGUACUGCAGGGGAGACUGGAAGUUCCUGGUGUAGCGGUGGAAUGCGCAGAUAUCAGGAGGAACACCGGUGGCGAAGGCGGCUUGCUGGGCCUUACCUGACGCUGAGGAGCGAAAGCGUGGGGAGCGAACAGG